AACCGGAGGAAGGUGGGAUGACGUCAAGUCCUCAUGGCCCUUACAGGCUGGGCUACACACGUGCUACAAUGGCAUCUACAGUGGGCAGCUAUUCCGUAAGGAUGCGCUAAUCUCCAAAAGAUGUCUCAGUUCGGAUUGUCCUCUGCAACUCGAGGGCAUGAAGGCGGAAUCGCUAGUAAUCGCGGAUCAGCAUGCCGCCGGUGAACCUACGUUCCAGGCCUU
rnacentral:rRNA from 1 species